rnacentral:rRNA from 1 species
UACGGAGGGGGCUAGCGUUGUUCGGAAUUACUGGGCGUAAAGCGCACGUAGGCGGCUUUGUAAGUUAGAGGUGAAAGCCCGGGGCUCAACUCCGGAAUUGCCUUUAAGACUGCAUCGCUAGAAUUGUGGAGAGGUAAGUGGAAUUCCGAGUGUAGAGGUGAAAUUCGUAGAUAUUCGGAAGAACACCAGUGGCGAAGGCGACUUACUGGACACAUAUUGACGCUGAGGUGCGAAAAGCGUGGGGGAGCAAAC